GACGAACGCUGGCGGCGUGCUUAACACAUGCAAGUCGAGCGGUAAGGCCCCUUCGGGGGUACACGAGCGGCAAACGGGUGAGUAACACGUGAGCAAUCUGCCCUUCACUCGGGGAUAACUCCGGGAAACCGAAGCUAAUACCCGAUACGACCACCUCAGGCAUCUGAUGGUGGUGGAAAGUUCCGGCGGUGAAGGAUGAGCUCGCGGCCUAUCAGCUUGUUGGUGGGGUAACGGCCCACCAAGGCAACGACGGGUAGCCGGCCUGAGAGGGUGACCGGCCACACUGGGACUGAGACACGGCCCAGACUCCUACGGGAGGCAGCAGUGGGGAAUAUUGGACAAUGGGCGAAAGCCUGAUCCAGCAACGCCGCGUGAGGGAUGACGGCCUUCGGGUUGUAAACCUCUUUCAGCAGGGACGAAGCGCAAGUGACGGUACCUGCAGAAGAAGCACCGGCCAACUACGUGCCAGCAGCCGCCGUAAGAC
rnacentral:rRNA from 1 species